GUUCAUGUUUCCCUCAUAUCUUGUGUACAUGUUCUGGGUUCUGCUUUCUAUCCUUCUCUGGUUCUGGGUUCUACUAGUUUUGUCUUGUCUUAUCUUGUUUGGUGCCUGUUCUAGUCUUGCCUUGUUUCUAGUACUGGAUACAUAUCUGCUGCAGAGCCUCCCUAUCCAGAUCCUGGGAGGUCUGCAUAUUUUCUCCUUGUUCCUGGGAUCCGCAGAAGCUGCAUCAGGGCCCUGGUAUGUGGCCGCACAAACCCUGGUGCUCAACACCAGGGGGCGGGUGAUUACCCUGCACCAGGCCCUGAUUGUUUCACUUCCAUGAGGUUGACUCCGAUCAUCAUCAGGUACACAGGGGUCCCAUUCUCUGUACCGUCACCC